AUGACCUGGGCUCUGCUCCAGCUCUCAGGCAGCCCUGUUGGUAAGGAAACUUCCCUGUUGGAGCAUCCCAGAGACACUCUGGCAGUCGCACUCCCACCACCAGACUGUUCCUGGGAACAGCAUGUUGGCUGGGACCAAAUUCCCUUCACUGCGGGUGGCUCAGGUGAGCCCAAGGGUGCCCCCACUGACUCCCACACUCUCUCCCCUCUCACACAGUCAGACCAGGUUUCCCAAAGCAGAGUCUCACAUGUCUCAUUCCACAAAACAAUUUAUUCACGGCGCAAGAACCCAGAAACAGCUCAAGCCAGUGCCCUCAGGGAGGGACCUUGGACCUCUGGGCUGUUACACCUUCACAGUCCAAGCACAGCAAAGUCUCAGCUCUUCCUCCCGAGGCUUGACAUCUGCCCUGUCUCUGGGUGGCCACUGACCCGGCUGUGGCACAGGUCCCCAGGCUCCUUGUCCUGCCAAGGGUCAGCAGGUCAUGGGCUCUUGCCUCGGGCUCCUGCCAGCCAGAGCUCAGCCUGGAGCUGGCACUGCAGCUCACCCCGAGCUACCUGCAGCAGGUGUAUUCCUCAGCACCUGUGCUUUGCUGCCGCCAAGGAACUGCACACGGGGCCUCCUGCUCGGCCUCCUGGCACCGCACGCUGGAGCUGCCGGAGCUGCCGGAGCGCUGCCCCAGGUGCGGGUGUGUGUGAACACGCUGUGGGGUCACGGCCCUCGUGGCUGAGCAGGACAUGUGGCACAGGGAAACUGAAGUGUUGCCGAUGCUGCUCCUCCCCUUGCCAAGCUGGAGAAGAGCUGCAGCUGGAGCGUGUGCCAGAAACAGCUUGGGGAGCAGAGGAACACCGUCCCUGGGCUGUGCUCCUCACUGAGAGCCCCGCGGUCAUCGCUGCACCUCCAGCAGAUUGCUCUGCCUGUCUCUUGCCUUUGUGCAACGAGCGAGGCUGGCAGGGCUCGGCAGUGUUCCCCAAGGAACCAGCCGGGCUGCAGGAACGGGCACCGGAGACCUCACCAAAUCCAACCAAGAAGGCCUAG
rnacentral:lncRNA from 1 species